ACCGGUACAUGCUGUGUUUUUCUGCAAUUUUUAGCACGCAUUUCAGACGCCUAUAAAUACCCCCUUUUGUUAUUUUUCACAUCCAAACCCACGAAAUAACCCUAGAAACACCCCUUCUCACCUACCCAACUUCAAUCUCACCCAAAACUUUUGAUUUCAACCUUAAAUCUCCAAGAUCCAAAGGUUUCCAACCUCAAAAUCACUUGAAUCUUGCAUUUGGAGAACAAGGGAUCUUGUAUCUAAGCUUGGGUGGAGCUCGUUUUUUGAGGAUUCAAGCAAAUAUCUCUCUGUAGACCUAGGGUUUUGCUUAAAACCCACUUUGGUUCGAAUGCCGGUCAAUAGCGUGUCUGCAUCAAGUGUUGAGAUGUGAAGACUUUUUUUUGGAAGCUUAC